rnacentral:lncRNA from 1 species
UUUUUUUCUUCAUAUGUUCGAUCACUUGUAUGUGAUUGAUGAAGAUGAAAAAGAAAAGAAGAUGAACGAAGAAAAAAAAAAGUCUAGAUGGGCCCGUGUCCUACGUGGCAGAUUGAUCGUAUGCGUCCUGAAACCCUCAUAUCAUCCCUACAUUUGUCCUUAAAAUUUGUCGUCAAUAUAAGGGUUCGCGGACAGUCCAAAGAUAUUGAAAUUAUACGAGGGCUUCGAUUAAAUUACUUUUUUCUUUUCCUCAUGUCCGAUCACUGACCGAAUACAUCUAUGAAUGUUUGAUGAUGAUUUGAGGAUGCCAGAUGUAGAUGCUCUAAAUAGAUAGAUACAUCAAAAUUACUUUAGUGAGCUAAAACAUUUUUAUACUGUAUUUGUUCGAGGAGGAGUGGCUAAUUUGUGCGUGCCACCUUGAUUAACUAGUACUACUAUGUCCGCUUUGGAUUCGGUCAUCAUCGGCUUGACAGUUUGUUUACCGAUCCUAGACCACAGUAGCAAGUUGUAGAGUGAUUCCGUUCCAGUCUUAUCACCUCCACCCGCCCUUCCUUCCUUGGGCCGUUCUACCGUGUCCACACGCUUUUUGGAAUUUUGUUCGCACAGAUCAACCAUAUACUUGCUGAUCUUUUCUUCCAGGAAAAAACAAAUAUACCUGGUGACCUUUUCCAGAAAAAUAAUAUACUUUGGUGGUGAUUGCCGGUCCUUUUUUCUUUUGAUUAAGGCCGCUAGGCGAGCAUCGAAUUCUGUCGUACCAGCAGAAAGCAGAGGCCUUCAUUUCCAUGCCUGGCUUAAAAAAUGGUGCGUGCGCUCCUUAAAUUCCUUGCUGGCUCUUUCUUUACGUUGUCCUUGGACCUUGGGGAGGGUUGUUGAGACUAGCUAGACUGGCGACUGAACUCUCCGAAGAACAUGCACGGCAGCGAGAAACCAAAAUGGAAGGACGGACGGAGCAGAAAAUAUCUAGCAAAAGGAAACCUAUAUACCAUAAGAAAAGCAAGAUUUGGUUUCUUUUUCUUUUGUUUGGAUAGACAUGCAUUCUGUUAUGGAUUUCGCCAAAAAUCGCAUACGACGUGCGUGUAUGCAUACGCUUGUCGAGGCUCAAGGCAGUCGCUAAAAGUUGGCACAUGAGACAAAGCAGCAGAUAAACAGCGGUGGACUUCUUUGCAUCACAUAUCAUCUGGACUGCGUCUGAUCUAAGUGGGUGUAGGUGUUGGGGUAAAAGCUCUCAACUAACGCGAGGGAAUUAGUUAAAUAGAUGCAAAGAAGUCAACACCACGGAAGAACACAGGCGUAACGAAAAGAGAAUGAACAAACAGGGAGGUGAAGAUUUGCGCGUAGUAGCUCAUAGAAUUCAGUAGCAUCUCAUCGUAGAUCUGGAUUUACAAAUUUACAUACGUAUUAUUUCCCAGAAAAAGAGAGAGGAAAAGUAGCAACAACCGAAGAAGAAGAAGAAGAACUAAAGAGUCCCAAACGGAGUCUAGCUAGAAGCCUCAGCCCUCGAUCGAGAAGGCACGCACAACUCGACCACCCAACAGCACAACACACAUGCACACAACCCUGCACCGGCCACCACCCCUCAAGAAACGGGACAAGACCACGCUAAAGAUUAAGCUAUAACGGCCACGAGCUCGUGGAUCAGACGACGACGGCGUAGUAGACGGGCGUGAGGCCCCUGUCGUCCCCGCCGGCGAGCGCGCCGAGGAGGCGGCGGAAGGCGGCGACGGGGCAGGGGAUGCGGAGCGGGCCGCGGCGCGCGUAGCCGUACUCCUGCGCGGCCCGUCGGAGCAGCUCGGCGAUGGNNNNN